CAGUUCCUAACCAUCGCGCCACUUGGCCGGCCCUUGUGUGUCUUUCUUGAACCAACUUAUUUGAAAUCACUACUCAGCCAUAGCUGUACUUGCUACAACCCUCUGAGGUAGUCCUGCUCUUGUUCUAGUUUUAUGGAGGAAUAAGCCCCUUGCCUGUGGCCACAAGGGCUGUCAUCGGCAGAGGCAGGAUAUGAGCCCUGGCAGCCUGGCUCUGGAACUUGGGUACCCAGCCACUAUGCGCCACCACUCUUGCCAAGCUUGACAAGCUGUACUAGCCUCCCUUAUAACUGUCUCCACAGUAUGGCAGCAUCUAGUGUCACCAGAAGCCAACUUAGAAAUAUCAUUUGUGAUGCCUUUGCAUUUUAUAGGCCAUUCUGGAAUAGAUUGUUGUCCCUCAUAAGGCCCUCAUGGUGCAUUCCUCCUAGACCCAGCAGUAAUGCAUUGGGGAGGCAGGGAUGUAAAGGGCACUGACCAGAGUCAGACUACCUGGCUCCCUUCUGAGCCUCACCAUGUAUUGCCAGUAUGGCCUUGGUAGUCACUUAGCCUUCCCAAGCCUCAGUUUCCUCAUCUGUAAAAUGCGGGUAAUAAUAGUACCUUCCUCCUAAGGUUUUUAUGAGAUUCAAAUAGGAAUGAUAAUUGUGAAGACUACAGAAUGGAACUUAACAUAGUUUUGGUACAUAGGAAGCACUCAAUCCAUGCUAAAUUUCAUUAAUAAUAUAGUGUUUUCUCCAACUCUUGAGAGUUGUGAUUUCUUCCCUGCACUGAUUGUCAAGCAUCUCAGAGAGCAUUUUUUCCUGUAACAUUCUUUGGCUUGGUUGUACUUGCCCUUUUUAUUUUGAUCAAUGAUGAGAAUUUUGGCCUUAUUGUAUGCUAUGCUUUUAUGGUAAGCAGCCUCUUUCUUUCUGGAGGUAGGUGGCCAAAUAAAUAAAGGCAUGCAUAUGUUUGUAUAUUCACAUAGACACACACACAGAACACAAAACAUCCCCAAGAGGACCUCACUGAAAUGCCAUUUCACUUCUCAGUCUGGCUUCUAAACCUCCUGUUUUAGUGAGGUUUCAGUGCUACUACUAGCCAAGUGAAAUGCCGUUGAGAAAUCUUUUAGAAUGGUUUUUCCCAAAAUAGUGCCCUUCACUCAAAUCUAUGGCAUUGGUUUCAGGAACUUUGCUGCUACAAUCCAGCGGCCCUUCUCAGUUCAUUAUGACCCAUACACCCAAAGGAUUGAGGUCUUGGACAACACCCAGCAACUUAAGAUUUUGGCUGACUCCAUCAACAGUGAAGUUGGAAUUCUUUGCAGUGCCCUCCAGAAAAUAAAGUGAAGCCAUGGACAGAACCAGCCUGUCAACUGAGAAUCUGUUGAUGGAAAUCCAACAACUUUUAUUUUAUCUGAAAAAGCCUGACAAUCAAAACUUCAUUUAAAAUGACAGCCUUAAAUCAUGUUUUGAACAAGAUGGAGGAUCAACAAAUAAAUUUAAAUAAUC